rnacentral:SRP_RNA from 1 species
UGGAAGGUAUUGAGGGCAAAUAACUUGCCAAUCCAGUCAGAUCUGAAAAGAAGCAGCUGUAACAAGCUUAUUUGGGUCUCUUUUGCCUUCCAUUA